UGUGUUGCCUUCUAAACUACGCUGCGACGGGUCUCUCCGGGCUUCCCCUAUACAUAGCUCGACCGCACCUCCUCUACAUUCAUCCAUUUCUCCGGAGUUCUUCAGGCUAAUCAGCAUCAAACUCAGCCACCAACACCGGGCAGCUACCGCUUCAUCAGUAUAAAGACUUAAGAUGUCAAGCAAAAGUUGCGUCUCCGAUGGUGAUGAGGAUCUGGAGGCUCAACUUUCACCCUCAACCGCAGCUGAUAACCCUUGCAGGAAUCGAUGGCGCAGUAUUUUCUUGAAGCUACAGGCACAUCAAAUUUUCAUUUCAAUAUUACGUGAUCCAAGGAGGUCCAUUUCUCUGGCUGAUAUCUCUUCAGCUUCAUCUUACGCCCUCGUCCGCAGCUCUGAUGGAGACGAUUAUGAAGUAAGUUCCUCAUUUCAGUAGCACAAUAUAAUUACUACCAAUCGGUUCAACCGUUCAUCAGUCAUGUCUCCGAUUCAGUUUAAAUGUAAAAUCGUUCUACAAAAAUCGGACUGGACCGACUGUUUGGACCA